rnacentral:SRP_RNA from 1 species
CGGUGGGAGGUAGGGCUGGGGGGCUGGCCCUCCCCUGUAACCCGAAACGGGCCUUAUGCGGGGGCCAGUAACCCGAAGGGAAGGUAUGGGUACCUCACCUCGGCUCCUUUGUACCGUGAUGACCCUCCCACCUCGGGGGGUGCCGGAGGGGCCUUACGCGUCCGGAGGGACGCGGACUGGCCCCUUGCCAGGCGAACCUGGCCAGGGCCGGAAGGCAGCAACCUAAGCCUGGACGGUUACCGCUCCGAGGCCCGGGGGGUGAGUGGGAAAAAGGAUGUCCGAGGUGAGGGAUCCCAUAUCGACCCUCGGGGUCUCCCACCG